rnacentral:rRNA from 1 species
UACGGGGGGGGCAAGCGUUGUUCGGAAUUACUGGGCGUAAAGGGCUCGUAGGCGGCCAACUAAGUCAGACGUGAAAUCCCUCGGCUUAACCGGGGAACUGCGUCUGAUACUGGAUGGCUUGAGUUCGGGAGAGGGAUGCGGAAUUCCAGGUGUAGCGGUGAAAUGCGAAGAUAUCUGGAGGAACACCGGUGGCGAAGGCGGCAUCCUGGACCGAAACUGACGCUGAGGAGCGAAAGCCAGGGGAGCAAACGGG